rnacentral:rRNA from 1 species
CAAUAGCGUAUAUUAAUGUUGUUGCAGUUAAAAAGCUCGUAGUUGGAUUUCUGAUGGGAUCGACCCGGUCGGCUCCGAAAGGGGUCGCACUGGUGGUCUGUCCGGUCAUCCUCGAGGGGAGGCUUUCUGGCAUUCAUUUGUUGGGGAGUCGACGCUCGUCGUUUACUGUGAACAAAUUAGAGUGUUCAAAGCAGGCUUAGGCCGUUGAAUACAUUAGCAUGGAAUAAUAAGAUAGGACUUUGGUGGUUUAUUUUGUUGGUUUGCACGCCGAAGUAAUGAUUAAUAGGAGCAGUUGGGGAUGUCCGUAUUCGAUUGUCAGAGGUGAAAUUCUUGGAUUUAUUGAAGACGAACUACUGCGAAAGCAUUUGCCAAGGAUGUUUUCAUUAAUCAAGAACGAAAGUUAGGGGAUCAAAGAUGAUUAGAUACCAU